rnacentral:rRNA from 1 species
UACGUAGGGUGCGAGCGUUAAUCGGAAUUACUGGGCGUAAAGCGUGCGCAGGCGGUUUUGUAAGCCAGAUGUGAAGGCCCCGGGCUUAACCUGGGAAUGGCAUUUGGGACUGCAAGGCUGGAGUUUGGCAGAGGAGACUGGAAUUCCUGGUGUAGCAGUGAAAUGCGUAGAUAUCAGGAGGAAUACCGAUGGCGAAGGCAGGUCUCUGGGCUAUAACUGACGCUCAUGCACGAAAGCGUGGGGAGCAAACAGG